rnacentral:rRNA from 1 species
GAAUUUUGGACAAUGGGCGAAAGCCUGAUCCAGCAAUGCCGCGUGCAGGAUGAAGGCCUUCGGGUUGUAAACUGCUUUUGUACGGAACGAAAAGCUUUGGGUUAAUACCCUGGAGUCAUGACGGUACCGUAACCAUCAGCCCCGCCUCACUCAGCCCCACCCGCCGCCGUAAUACGUAGGGUGCAAGCGUUAAUCGGAAUUACUGGGCGGAAAGCGUGCGCAGGCGGUUUUGUAAGACAGAGGUGAAAUCCCCGGGCUCAACCUGGGAACUGCCUUUGUGACUGCAAGGCUAGAGUACGGCAGAGGGGGGUGGAAUUCCGCGUGUAGCAGUGAAAUGCGUAGAUAUGCGGAGGAACACCGAUGGCGAAGGCAACCCCCUGGGCCUGUACUGACGCUCAUGCACGAAAGCGUGGGGAGCAAACA